rnacentral:lncRNA from 1 species
AUAACUUACUAGGCUUUCAAUGGUAAAGGUAAUAUCUUCCCUGGGGACCUUUUAGGUAUUCUCAUCUGGGCUUUUUUAACCUCCCAUUUAGGACAGCUCAGAAUUUGCCAAAUAUUUUGAAGGGGAAACAAGUCGGGUAUCUCAGACCCUCUGGUUCUCCAGCCCUGCAAGAUUGCCAAAAGCACUGCUGGUUCCUCUGUCCCUAGCAGCAUUCUUCUGCCAAGGUAAAGCCCAGAGUAUCAUUCUCACCUUCACCCGGAACCAGCAAAUGCCUCCAGGGGAAGGAGCAGCUACAGACCAUAUUUUACCUCUCAGUUCUCUCUUCUCGAAUCUUAGUUCCUUUAGUUGUCUUUGUUUCAGCCCCUCUCUGAUAUUUUUAAACAAAUACUUUUUGUACUUUGUCCAGCUUUGCUAGUCGUUCUUGGCAGGAGCGCAGAUCUGCCACAAACGACUCUGUUCUGUCUGGAAGCAGAAUUCCAGUGAGUUUUUAAUUUCUCUUAAUAUAUUUUUCAUUUCAGGAAGUUUUAUUUUGUUCACUCCCAAACCCAUUUGGUCAUUUUUGUGAUGUCUUGCUCCUACCUCAUCUUUUUAACCCCUUUUAAAUUUUCUUGUAUGUUUUAAACAUGCUUAUUCUAUACUUCCGAUUAUUUCAAUAUCUCAAGUAUUUACUGCUCCAAUUUUGAUAUUAUUUCUGCUGGCUUCAUUUAUCUUUGCUUUUUGUUUAUAUAUUUCCUGAUUCAUGAAUGUGGGCUUAUAUGUCCUAAAAUUAGUCUCUGUGGGACUCUUUCCCCCCGCCCCCACUUUUUAGGGUAGCAUCUGUAGCACAUUAAGUUCCCAGCCUAGGGAUCGAAUCAGAGUUGCAGGUGUCAACCUACACCACAGCUCGCGGCAACGCAGGAUCCUUAACCCACUGAGUGAGGCCAGGAAUCAAACCCGUGUCCUCAUGGAUACUAGUCGGAUUUGUUUCUGCCGAGCCACAACAGGCACUUUCUCUGUGGGACUUUUCAAGGCCUGAAUUGAAGAUGGGUUCCUUCAUAGAGAUUUAGUAUUUGCUUCUGCCUGGGAACAUGUACAGGCCUUAGCACACUUUAAAAUCUUAAUUUGAAUAUUAUUGGUCCACUUAAAAAUAAUAAUUUGGGGUGAAAAUCCACACGAGGUCUAGCUUCUGUUUAUAAAAUUCAUAGAAGGAAUUUUUUUUUGUAUUUUCCAUUCAAGGUCUGAGUUUAAUAUUUCUCUUUGUGGCUGGGCCUGGGUUUUGUCCACUAUCCCCUGCUCCAUUAGGAGGCAUGAAAACCAAAGCUCAACUUUACCUCUGUCAUAAGUCAGAUGCUCUCAAGGUAAAAACUGUCCUUUGUGCUUCACCUAUCAUUAAGGGUUCCCAGUUUUACUUAGGUUUUGGGCCUCAGUAUUCCUUACUGACUUACCAAAAUAAUGAUGCAUUUGAGAGGUUGUUUGUCAUUUUCUGUCCUACAUGUUUGGUUGUUCACUGUGGGAGGUUCUGGGUCCAUCACAGUAGAAAACAGUAGUCAGGCCUGAAUAUUAUUUACACACACACACAUACUGCUAAUAAAUGUUCUGAAUUUAAUAUCACUUGUAUACAUGAUUAAAAGGAAUAGAUAAUAAAUUUACCUUCAGGAUCAUAAUUGCAGCUCUUUGUCCCCACCAGUAACUACAAGCAGUUUUUCAUUAGAGAAAAGAAAAUGAUUGAAUAAUCCAAAUUAGCCUGGGCAAGAAAACUAACAGCUGCCUAAAAUGAAAUGUUUGAGUUAUGAGCCAUGUGCCACUUUGGUUUAUCUGCAGCCAAAAGGUUCAGAAUCCUUAUUCAAUUAACCACGUUGCUUGGGAGGGCCUGGUUGCCCUGAAUGAGAGCUGCCUGGUGAUGAGUAAGAGGUAUCCGUGACACACAAGUUCAGACCUUGCAACUCUGUUUUUGUUGUUUGAACUUUCUUCUUUGUUGUAGCUAGGGAUCCGGCAUGGAAUUUAAACACUUGUGUGGUAACUCCAUUCCUUCAGCCAUUGUGUUGUUAAGCUCUAGCUAACGAACUUUUAACACUGGUUCCAUGUAAGGUAAGACUUAGAAAAAAGCAGCAGUCAACGUUUCUGGUUUUAUAAAUAAAACCAUAUGAUGUGUCUUUAGCAAAGUAAGAUACUCCUGCAUAUCUAGUCCAGCCACUCCCCCCCAAAAAAUAGCCUUCAAAAUAUAUUUGAAAAAUAAAGAAAUAAACCAAGGUGCACCUAAGAAAGCUUAAAUUAAGAAGUGGCUUUCAUUUCAGAAAAUCUCACCUACUGUAACAGAAACUUCAAAAUGUAUACCUGUUUUGAAACUUGGGAACUUUGCAUAAAAGAGAGAUGCUAAAAUUACGUAAUAUUUGAAAAGGUGAGAGCUGCCAAACGCACCAGUCAAGUAUACUUUGUCUCGUGUGGAAUUUUCUUCCAUGCCAACAGUUUCUGUUGCUUAGGGAGACCCUCCUGGUGGUGCCACAAAGAAUGUUUCUCAAACCCAUAUAGAUUAUGUACACAUUGGCUUGCUAAAGACAAGUUUGAUUUUAAAUCUCUCAACUUCAUUUUGCUUCUUAAUAUACUGUUUUGAAACAAAAACCAGAUGACUAAAAGAGAGGAAACAAUUUUUUCUUCAAUUCGUAAACCAGCUCUGAAGAUAAUUCUGGAGGAGAAAAUUCAAAUAUGGUUUGAACAGCGAUGUAGUAGUUUGACAAAAUAGCUCAGUAUUACUGCUUUAAAGAAUGGCUCUUUAGUUGAAUGGUACACUGAUUACUAGUAUCUUACAUCAUAGUCAUCAUUUUACAAAGUUAAAUUUGUUUUUGCAUAUUUUCUUAAAUUGUGGUCAUAUUGUAAAGAGUAAUUGUGAACUUUUAUUUAGGUGACAUAGAGGAAUGUGAAUAGGUAAUCUUGUUUGUCAAUUGGAAGUGAGGAAAAACUUGAAAUCAGAAGUUUUCUGGGAGUUCCCUUUAUGGCUCAGCAGAAACAAACCCGACUUGUCAGCUAGUAUCCAUGAGGAUGCAGGUUCGAUCUCUGGCCUGGAUCAGCGGGUUAAGUAUCCAGUGUUGCGUGAGCUAUGGUAUAUGUUGCAAACAUGGCGCAGAUCCCUCGUUGCUGUGGCUGUGGCGUAGGCUGGCAGCGGUACCUCCAAUUCAACCCCUAGCCUGGCAACUUCCAUAUAUAUGCCACAGGUGCAGCCCUAAAAAG